AAAUUGAAGAGUUUGAUCAUGGCUCAGAUUGAACGCUGGCGGCAGGCCUAACACAUGCAAGUCGAACGGUAACAGGAAGCAGCUUGCUGCUUCGCUGACGAGUGGCGGACGGGUGAGUAAUGUCUGGGAAGCUGCCUGAUGGAGGGGGAUAACUACUGGAAACGGUAGCUAAUACCGCAUAAUGUCGCAAGACCAAAGAGGGGGACCUUCGGGCCUCUUGCCAUCGGAUGUGCCCAG
rnacentral:rRNA from 1 species